rnacentral:rRNA from 1 species
CAGUCGCCACGGGAAUACGUAGGGUGCGAGCGUUAAUCGGAAUUACUGGGCGUAAAGCGUGCGCAGGCGGUUAUAUAAGACAGAUGUGAAAUCCCCGGGCUCAACCUGGGAACUGCAUUUGUGACUGGCAAGCUAGAGUGUGGCAGAGGGGGGUGGAAUUCCGCGUGUAGCAGUGAAAUGCGUAGAUAUGCGGAGGAACACCGAUGGCGAAGGCAGCCCCCUGGGCCAACACUGACGCUCAUGCACGAAAGCGAGGGGAGCAAACAGGAUUAGAUACCCCCGUAGUCCCUGUCUCUUAUAC